AUGGCAUGGACUGCUUGGGAUAAGCUAAUUUUACCCAAGUUGAAAGGAGGUCUCGGUUUCAGAGACAUGAGGGCUUAUAACCAGGCGUUUCUUGCUAAGCAAGCUUGGCGUCUCCUAAUGACACCGGAUUCUCUAUGUGCUAGGCUCCUUCGAGCUAAAUACUUUCCCAAUGGUAGCUUGGUCGAUACAGUGUUUUCGGGAAACUCCUCGGCAGUAUGGAAAGGAAUAGAGUAUGGCCUGGAACUAGUGAAGAAAGGCAUGUUAUGGCGUGUUGGCAAUGGUGCUAAUAUUCGCGUGUGGAGGGACCCAUGGAUUCCACGUGGACCGCCAUAUACACCCAUUACUCCCAAGAGGAACUGUCGCCUUAACAGAGUGAGUGAUUUCAUAGAUGAUCGGGGUAACUGGAAGAUGGAGCUGGUACAGCGACACUUUUGGCAGCCGGAUGUGGACUCCAUCCUCAAGAUCAGAACAUCUGUGAGGCAACGAGAGGACUUUAUUUCUUGGCCUUGGGAGAAAUCUGGCAUGCUGACAGUUAAAAGU
rnacentral:rRNA from 1 species